rnacentral:tRNA from 1 species
GGGUAUAUAGCUUAGUUGGUAGAGUGUUUGCCUCACAUGAACAAGGCCCUGAGUUCAAUUCCCAGUACAACCA